GCCGGGCGUGGUGGCGAGCGCCUGUAGUCCCAGCUACUCGGAGGCUGAGGCGGGAGAAUGGCGUGAACCCGGGAGGUUGGAGCUUGCAGUGAGCUGAGAUUGCGCCACUGCACUCCAGCCUGGGCGACAGAGCGAGACUCCGUCUCAA
rnacentral:SRP_RNA from 1 species